AUUGAACGCUGGCGGCAGGCCUAACACAUGCAAGUCGGACGGUAGCACAGAGGAGCUUGCUCCUUGGGUGACGAGUGGCGGACGGGUGAGUAAUGUCUGGGGAUCUGCCCGAUAGAGGGGGAUAACCACUGGAAACGGUGGCUAAUACCGCAUAACGUCGCGAGACCAAAGAGGGGGACCUUCGGGCCUCUCACUAUCGGAUGAACCCAGAUGGGAUUAGCUAGUAGGCGGGGGAAUGGCCCACCUAGGCGACGAUCCCUAGCUGGUCUGAGAGGAUGACCAGCCACACUGGAACUGAGACACGGUCCAGACCCCUACGGGAGGCAGCAGUGGGGAAUAUUGCACAAUGGGCGCAAGCCUGAUGCAGCCAUGCCGCGUGUAUGAAGAAGGCCUUCGGGUUGUAAAGUACUUUCAGCGGGGAGAAAGGCGGUGAGGUUAAUAACCUCGCCGAUUGACGUUACCCGCAGAAGAAGCACCGGCUAACUCCGUGCCAGCCGCCGCAGUAA
rnacentral:rRNA from 1 species